GGUGGCGAUAGCGAAGAGGUCACACCCGUUCCCAUGCCGAACACGGAAGUUAAGCUCUUCAGCGCCGAUGGUAGUUGGGGGCUUCCCCCUGUGAGAGUAGGACGCCGCCAAGC
rnacentral:rRNA from 3 species